rnacentral:rRNA from 1 species
UACGUAGGGUGCAAGCGUUAAUCGGAAUUACUGGGCGUAAAGCGUGCGCAGGCGGUUAUGUAAGACAGAUGUGAAAUGCCCGGGCUUAACCUGGGAACUGCAUUUGUGACUGCAUGGCUAGAGUGUGUCAGAGGGGGGUAGAAUUCCACGUGUAGCAGUGAAAUGCGCAGAUAUCAGGAGGAACACCGAUGGCGAAGGCAGCUCGCUGGGACGGUACUGACGCUGAGACGCGAAAGCGUGGGGAGCAAACAGG